ACCUUACCAACCCUUGACAUACUUGUCGCGGAUUCCAGAGAUGGAUUCCUUCAGUUCGGCUGGACAAUGUACAGGUGCUGCAUGGCUGUCGUCAGCUCGUGUCGUGAGAUGUUCGGUUAAGUCCGGCAACGAGCGCAACCCACGUCCUUAGUUACCAGCAUUUAGUUGGGUACCCUAAGGAGACUGCCGGUGAUAAGCCGGAGGAAGGUGUGGACGACGUCAAGUCAUCAUGGCCCUUACGGGUUGGGCUACACACGUGCUACAAUGGCAUCUACAGUGAGUUAAUCUCCAAAAGAUGUCUCANUUCGGAUUGGGGUCUGCAACUCGACCCCAUGAAGUUGGAAUCGCUAGUAAUCGCGGNAACAGCAUGCCGCGGUGAAUACGUUCCCGGGCCUUGUACACNCCGCCCGUCACACCAUGGGAAUUGGGUCUACCCGAAGGUGGUNGCGCCAACUAUU
rnacentral:rRNA from 1 species